UUUUCAAUAUAAAAUGAUCAAAACAUUUAAUAUUUGUUACAUGCAAAGGUAAAAAAAAGAAUGGCUAAAACUUUCAAGUUUGUUUAUGUUGUGAUGCUUUUUAUUUCCCUGAUUCUCAUUAUAAGAGCUGAUCCACCUCUACAAAAAUGUUCGACUGACAAAGAUUGCAAACCGGGUUGGAUUGACCAUUAUACGCCUGGUGGUGGUUACAAGACAUGGUCAAAACCCUUAUGCAUUGAUGGAACUUGUCGCCAUUAUUUUUGAUCAGCAAGUGAUCGAUCCUUAAAACAAGACAAAAAUAGUACUAUAAGGUGUUUGUUCACAAGAAUAAAGUGCAGCAUUAUUCUCUCACGUAUGCUAGUGUUUUUUUUAGAGUUUGUUGGAUUAUUUUGUAACUUUGAUAUUGUUACAUCAAGGUCAGGUUGGAUCUAAGAAAUUAUUAUGUAUGUUUAUAAGGAUAAUUGUAAGGCUCUAUGAAGUCAAAAUACUUUAUUUUAGCUAUAGCUAGCUAGAGUAAGGGUAACUAUCUAUUUUGUGUCUUUAAUAAUAUCAUUUGUCUAUUUAUCAUUUUUAAUAUUGGUAAAAAUAAAAAUAUUCCUAUAUUGUGCCUGCA